GACAAGCAGACAAGAUUGAUUUUGUCUGCUAAGAACAGCAUGAGCAAAGCGUGGUCAAAUUCUCAUUCCAGAGAGCUUGUGGCUGAGCAAAAUUCUAAAACAACCCAUAAUCCACUUGUGCAAACGCAACAAAUGAAGGUCCUAUGCUCCACUUUAUAUUGUAAUGCUACAGCAAAAAGCGAAGCAUCAUCUUCAAGAGCAGCAGCUCUUGAACUAAAGAUUCCAUCACUGUCUUUGGAGCCUCAAACACAACACCUGAACCUCCCCAACGACAAUCCAGCACGGCCCUUAAUCACACAGAUUACACCGCCCAUGCUGCCGCCUCCUCCCCAUCCAAACUUCCAGUCUGCA